UAGGGAAUCUUCCGCAAUGGGCGAAAGCCUGACGGAGCAACGCCGCGUGAGUGAUGAAGGUCUUCGGAUUGUAAAACUCUGUUAUUAGGGAAGAACAAACGUGUAAGUAACUGUGCACGUCUUGACGGUACCUAAUCAGAAAGCCACGGCUAACUACGUGCCAGCAGCCGCGGUAAUACGUAGGUGGCAAGCGUUAUCCGGAAUUAUUGGGCGUAAAGCGCGCGUAGGCGGUGUUUUAAGUCUGAUGUGAAAGCCCACGGCUCAACCGUGGAGGGUCAUUGGAAACUGGAAAACUUGAGUGCAGAAGAGGAAAGUGGAAUUCCAUGUGUAGCGGUGAAAUGCGCAGAGAUAUGGAGGAACACCAGUGGCGAAGGCGACUUUCUGGUCUGUAACUGACGCUGAUGUGCGAAAGCGUGGGGAUCAAACA
rnacentral:rRNA from 1 species